UAGUCCACGCUGUAAACGAUGUCGAUUUGGAGGUUGUGCCCUUGAGGCGUGGCUUCCGGAGCUAACGCGUUAAAUCGACCACCUGGGGAGUACGGCCGCAAGGUUAAAACUCAAAUGAAUUGACGGGGGCCCGCACAAGCGGUGGAGCAUGUGGUUUAAUUCGAUGCAACGCGAAGAACCUUACCUACUCUUGACAUCCAGAGAACUUUCCAGAGAUGGAUUGGUGCCUUCGGGAACUCUGAGACAGGUGCUGCAUGGCUGUCGUCAGCUCGUGUUGUGAAAUGUUGGGUUAAGUCCCGCAACGAGCGCAACCCUUAUCCUUUGUUGCCAGCGGUUCGGCCGGGAACUCAAAGGAGACUGCCAGUGAUAAACUGGAGGAAGGUGGGGAUGACGUCAAGUCAUCAUGGCCCUUACGAGUAGGGCUACACACGUGCUACAAUGGCAUAUACAAAGAGAAGCGACCUCGCGAGAGCAAGCGGACCUCAUAAAGUAUGUCGUAGUCCGGAUUGGAGUCUGCAACUCGACUCCAUGAAGUCGGAAUCGCUAGUAAUCGUAGAUCAGAAUGCUACGGUGAAUACGUUCCCGGGCCUUGUACACACCGCCCGUCACACCAUGGGGAGUGGGUUGCAAAAGAAGUAGGUAGCUUAACCUUCGGGAGGGCGCUUACCACUUUGUGAUUC
rnacentral:rRNA from 1 species